GUUGCGGUGGUGGGAGGAGGCGGGGGGCGAGGGCAGUACGGGACCCCGGCGGCGCCCGGACCGCGGGGGGAGCAGGGGCGCGGGGGACCUGCCGCCGCUGCCGGCUCUUUGUCUGCUCGGGCAACUUGAACAAAAGGAGAAACUCGGAUGAACUCUCCAUCUCUUCCUCGCCUCUCCCGGGUAAACUCAUCUUCGGCAACUUUAUCGGAAGAGAUUUGCUCAACUUUCUUGGAGCUCUCCCGCCGCUUAAAAGCAAAGAGCCCCGCCGUAGGCUUCUGAGGAAAUCUGGUUUCGCAGUUUAGAGAAAGGAGAAGGUCACAACAUGAUUGUUGGGAAAAUGGGAUGGUUGCCAGAACAUCAGUGUGUGAUGGGUGCCAUAUUGCAUUACUCUUCAAAUGGUGGAAUACAGCUUGGGAUUCCUCAGGGCUGCUUGUUGUGGUUCCAACUGGACCAUACAGCUGCUUAAUGUCUUAGCGUAGUUUGGAUUCAUACUAAUGGUUAAUGGUCUCCUGCGGGAAGUGGAAGAGCCCCAUGCUGAAACUUGUGGAUAUUGUGGAACAUGCUGCUGAGACCCAUUUGGAUUAUAUCACCAUCUGACACCAAGGUUCUGCAGCCGAUGAAAGGAGUUUACCAGAUCUUUUUAUGUGGUUGCUGAGGCAUUGCCCUGGGAGAGCAGUAAUGAGGGAUGGAUGAACAGAACACACUCCAGGCUUGGGUCACAGAGAAAUGUGAGGAUUUACACUUCUGAAAUAGAUGUGAAUGGGAUUGAAGGAAUUACGCGGAGGAUAAUGAACUCCCCUUCUUCCUGAUCCGGGAAAGAUGAAGUCCUGUUCUGAGACCACCUCUGGUUAUGAUCCACAUGUGCUACUGAAGCUGGCUAGAAUAGUGUGACAAAUUUUCCUGCUGCCCCGUGAAUCCUUUUGGUCUUUGGUGUGUAAGCAUCAAAUGAAGGGUGUAAGACCUUCUCUGGACACUGUGGGAGUAACCUCAUCAAGUGAGGGUGGUGUGCUCUUACUGCUGCUCAUCACAGCCUUGCAGGGGGGAAAAGGAGGCUGGCAGAUCUCUGUGUGAUAUCAUUUACAGGACACUGGAGAUGGUGGAAGAACCAGAAAGCUACCCUGCUCUUCCAUGGUGUAAACUACUGCUGAAAAUCAUAAAGAAGAAGAAAAAAACCUUGAUUUGUAGUUCUGAAUAAAGUGACAUUAAGAGAACAGAUGCUUCCUUGUCACAUGAUACUUAAGAGAUUCUGAUAAUGUAUCCAAAGCAACUCCAUCUUCAAGGGGAAAAAAAGAAAAUCAUGCCAAAUCUGAUAGUCUUCUGAUGUGUUCCGUUAGUUGUGGAUUUCCACAAGGAUUCUUCAAGCCCAAAAUUAAUUAUUAUGAAAAGCAGUGGCCUUAUUCAAGAUGUCACAAGGUAACAGAAGCAUGUCAAAGUGGUACAGUUUGUGCUGAAAUCUAACUAUUCUACAGCAGCUGAAAGGCUUGAAGAUAACCCUCUUCAUCAGAGGUAUAUUAGAAAUUAUUUGUAACAGCGGCUCCAGUGUUUGGCCCAUGGUCUUCAGAGAAGUUUAGAAAAGUAUUUUCACACAGUAUGUGCCCAAAGUUUUUUUUCAAACUAUCCUCUGCAUUUUAUUUAAGUCAUGUAAAAUUUGUAACUGGAGACUACAGACCAACUGCCCAUCCAAAGUAAGCAGCAAUAUUAGCUGGAGAAGAAGGAAUGAAAACCAGAUUAAGCUGCUAGAAUAUUUUCUUUCAUUUGUAUGACAGUGCUUUAUAAGAGUUCCAGCUGAAAAUGAGGGCCUAUAGAGUUUGAUUCAAUACAAAAGCAGUGCACAGUGUGUAGAGAGAACACAGAGAGUACACGCAGUAAUUGUUUGACCUGAGAUAUUUGUAUAAAGAGUUGUGGGAAAAAGAAGCA